AGCCUCGUAGCCUAGUGGUUAAGGCCUUUGGCUGUCAAUCAAGAAACUAAACUCAAGUUCUAGGCUG
rnacentral:tRNA from 1 species